AUUUAAAUAGUUUAAUUUUAAAAUAUUGAUUUGUGGAGUCAAUGAUGUAAAUAUUUACUUUGAAUA
rnacentral:tRNA from 1 species